GAUGAACGCUGGCGGCGUGCCUAAUACAUGCAAGUCGAGCGAACGGACGAGAAGCUUGCUUCUCUGAUGUUAGCGACGGACGGGUGAGUAACACGUGGAUAACCUACCUAUAAGACUGGGAUAACUUCGGGAAACCGUAGCUAAUACCGGAUAAUAUUUUGAACCGCAUGGUUCAAAAGUGAAAGACGGUCUUGCUGUCACUUAUAGAUGGAUCCGCGCUGCAUUAGCUAGUUGGUAAGGUAACGGCUUACCAAGGCAACGAUGCAUAGCCGACCUGAGAGGGUGAUCGGCCACACUGGAACUGAGACACGGUCCAGACUCCUACGGGAGGCAGCAGUAGGGAAUCUUCCGCAAUGGGCGAAAGCCUGACGGAGCAACGCCGCGUGAGUGAUGAAGGUCUUCGGACCGUAAAACUCUGUUAUUAGGGAAGAACAUAUGUGUAAGUAACUGUGCACAUCUUGACGGUACCUAAUCAGAAAGCCACGGCUAACUACGUG
rnacentral:rRNA from 1 species